CUCCUGACCUCAAAGGUGUACCUGCAAUCUCGGAUUCCUUCAGUGCCACUGGUAGCCUUGGUGUAACCAUCCGGGCAAUUAACUGCAAAGUUGAAAGAGCAGG